rnacentral:misc_RNA from 1 species
GCCGGAAAUGGUACAGGAGGUGAAUCGAUCUACGGCGCUAAGUUCGCCGACGAGAACUUCAUCAAGAAGCACACCGGACCUGGUAUUCUAUCCAUGGCGAAUGCUGGACCUGGAACCAACGGAUCUCAGUUCUUCAUUUGUACCGCUAAGACCGAGUGGCUCGAUGGAAAGCACGUCGUGUUCGGUCAAGUCGUCGAAGGCAUGGAUGUGGUAAAGGCCAUCGAGAAAGUCGGGUCGAGCUCUGGAAGGACCUCGAGACCGGUUGUUGUUUCUGAUUGUGGCCAGCUCUCUUAGAUUGGUGGAUGCUAGCUCUACCGCCGUCAUCUGCUCCGGCGAAAUCGUAUCUAUGAUCAUUUCCUAUUUGCGUGUGUUGUUUUAACUUGCUGCGAAUAUGGGUCUUUGUGAGUCUCCUAUUUAGGACUAUGGGUCAUGGGUUUGUGCUACUUCUUGAGAUUAUGUGCAGCUGCCCUUUUACCUUUCUGUUAAAUGGCGGUUUUGCGGUGGUUUUUCCUAGACAUAAUUGGUUGUUCAAACCGAGGACCUUCAAUAAUAUGGCUG